CGUCAUUAAGAAGUAAAAAUUGAAACUGACAUACUCUGGUGGAUGUUUACAUUGUUGAAAUUUAAUAAAUUAAUUGAAUGCACUCGAUUGAAGCUGCUCUGUCAAAUGCUGGACUUCACACAUUCCAUGCAGCAUUCUGCUGAGCACAACUGACUGCGUGCUUUGUACUCAACAACGAAGCAAUUCUGGACCUAUAAAGCUUGACCGGGACUGAAACAUUAGCAAUUGUGACUCUGUAAUGUUCAACGUUGGUGGACUGUAAAGAAACUGCAAUUAUUGUGAAGAGACUUUGUAUGUCUGUAAGCAAAAAGAAUAUACAGCAUAACAAAUAUCAGGUGUGAAAACAAUGUGAAAGAAUAUUGAAAUUAACACUUUGCAAUCAGGCAUGUCAAAUGAAUUGUUGAUAUUAAAAAUGAUAGUUCCCAGGCAGCUCUAGACGUUUUUUUCUGUAUUUCUAUUACUAGUAUUAAUCAUUAAAUGUAUGCCACAAUUAAAAAGCACACUCUGUUUAGAGACCAUUGUGUUGUCUCAUUGUGUGAUGAUGACUUUGAGUAAUACAUUGUACAUUAAAGGGGCCUUUUCACAGAUUUUGGCAUUUUUUAACUUAUUCAUUAAAUGCUUUAUAUUGAUAAAUGUAAACAUUGGAUCGUAAAAGCUCCAGUAAAAAAUCAAGAAAAAAAAUAAAAAAAGGAAAAGAACAUUGCCCGGAGCAGGUUUCGAACCAGUGACCCCUGGAGUCCUGCCAGAGUCCUGAAGUGAAAACGCUUUAGCCUACUGAGCUAUUCCGCCGAGUACACAUUCGUUACGUAUUUUAUACCUAAUAUAAGCAAUCUUCGUAGUUUUACAAAAUUUAACGACAAAAACAGAACUCUCCAAAUUAUUCAAUCGUUUCGCGUUGCAACGCUUUAUAAUUUUUAGGUUUUAAAAUCGUCAAAAGAUGCAUAUAAUGGCUAUAUUAGAGCAUGGUUAAUGUUCAGUAUUACUGUUUCCUCACAAAUAUUAUAACUAAAACGAAAACUUACGAAUCUGAAACAACUUUUUUCAAUUUUGUCAAUUUACCAAAGCGUGAAAAGAUCCCUUUAAACAAUAUCUACAAAGUUGUUUUUAAGUAUCAGAUUUCAUGUUUAUUAUAUAAAUGAAUGUUAAUUUUUGCUUAAAUAUAAAUGUGCAUAAUGCAGUGCCAGUAGCACACUUUGCACUAUUUUUAUUACAAAAGAGUGUGUUGUACACUUGAACUUAUACCUAUAAUUAAUUAUCCUUGCCUAAAAAUUCAUUUGACACACCUGAGACCAUGUUGUGUAUUACCAUUAUUAUUUUGCACAUUAUACUGACACUUUGAAAAAAUUGCAAAUAAGCGAAAAGCAGAAGUUUAGUCUUGUCAACUGUCUCUGAUUAAUUUUUUGAAGACCAUAUAGGAAGCGAACGUGUAGGAUACGGUAUUCAUUUUAUUUGAUGACUGCUUGUUAUUAUUUCUUCAUAGAAGGCGUACUGGAUGAGUGGAGUAUUUUUUUGGUUCUACAUCUUUGAUAAAGUCAACUCAUUGACAUUUAGUGCCAUGACUGAGCGUGUUUUUUAACUAACAAACGGGUGGUAUGAACUUACCGAAUAUCUGCAAACUCAUAACAAUGUGUCUAAUACUACAUGUGUUGAGUGCACAGAAACAAGGGCGAGAAGAUUAGGGUAUAAAUGAACAUACUGAAUGUGUUAUUUUGUUUAUGAGCUUGAACAUACAAAAACUUUACUUUAAUCAAUUGGGAUGUUCAUGCAGUUUAAUAAUCGGGUUGUUAUUUUAUAAUCAUAUUCAUGUGGAAACUGCCUCAUUCACAUGCAAUACGCAGCUGCUGUCUACAUGUUUAAUGCCACAUUCCAUAUUGACUGAAUAUCUUUACUUUCAAAACAUGAAAAUGAAUGAAAUGAAAUGAAAAUAAACGAAAUAAUGAAAUUAAAUUCAGGUGAAAAAUAUUUGAUUAUAUUUUAUUUAAAUAUGGUUUGGUAAAUUAUUUACUGGUAAAACAAUUCUUGUUGAUAACAGUAAAUUCGUGAUAAUAA